GACGUAGGGUGCGAGCGUUGUCCGGAUUUAUUGGGCGUAAAGAGCGUGUAGGCGGUUUGGUAGGUCCGUUGUGAAAACUCGAGGCUCAACCUCGAGACGCCGGCGGAAACCAUCAGGCUAGAGUCCGGAAGAGGAGAGUGGAAUUCCUGGUGUAGCGGUGAAAUGCGCAGAUAUCAGGAAGAACACCCGUGGCUAAGGCGGCUCUCUAGUACGGUACUGACGCUGAGACGCGAAAGCGUGGGGAGCGAACAGG
rnacentral:rRNA from 1 species